GUUUUUAUAUGCAUGUAUAAAUACUUCAGUGUCUUAUUUUUACUGUCACUCACUCUUCCUCUCAAAUCAGAGAACCAUGACCCCUUCCUUCCCUCUCCUAAAACUUCUUUUCUGCCCCCUCAACAAUGCCACCCCUACUCCUCCUCCUCCUUUUUCUUCAUUUCUAGCUAUCUCUCUCUCUACAUGCAGCAUCAAGCCAUCAAUGGCCACUAGGUUCGUGGGUUGCUUAGGAGAGGACUUGCAUGUUCCGUUGGUCUUGCUUCGCUGAUCUUGCUCACUAGAUGCAGCAUCAUCCUCCACUGAUCAUGCUCACUAGACACAACAUCUUGCUUCGCCGAUCUUGGCCACUGUUUCUGGGUUAUUUUUGUGAUGGAUUUUGUUAUUGUUCUAAUUUCAGGGUCAACUGCUAUUUAUGAUUUAGAAUUUUUGGGUUUUCUCUCAAUACUAUUAUUCUUUUCCAUCUUUUAUUAAUAGCUUAUUUUAAACCAUUGAGAAGUGAUUAAGUUGGAAAUUUGUUUCUGAUUAUUAUCAUUUCUUAUUGAUUUUCUUAUGGCUUUUUCUGAUU
rnacentral:misc_RNA from 1 species